rnacentral:rRNA from 1 species
UAAUUUAUCUUUUAAUUAAGAUUAUUAGAAAUUUAUUUUUUAGUUAUGAUUGGGGUGAUUUUAAAACAUAAUUAAUCUUUAAAAUUUUUUAAUAAAAAAGUUCCAUUAGUAGUGAUUUUUUGAUAAAAAUACUCUAGGGAUAACAGCGUUAUUAUUUUGGAUAGUUCAUAUAGAUAAAAUAGUUUGCGACCUCGAUGUUGGAUUAGGAUUCUUUUAUGAUGAAGAAGUUAUAAGGGAGAAGUUUGCUCAACUUUUAAAGUCCUACUUGAUCUGAGUUCAGACCGGG